CUGACAGUAACUCUAAAUGAUCCAGUUGGUUAACUGCUAAUAUCACUGGUGUAUUUAAAUGGAGACUACUCAUAAGUUUAAUUGCUGAAAACUGAGAAGGAGAUGCUUUGAAUCCCAGCGUCAACAAUCAACCAUGCUAAACUGAAGCCUGAUAUUCUACCCCAUUUGGCCGCUAGUCUUGAGAUGAAGAUAAUACCCAGACAGUUAAAACUGUUGGAAAAGAUCGAGGAAAGAUAUUUCUCAUUAAAUCUAAUCAGAAAGGAAAUGGUCCAAGCUGAAAAUGUGCAGGAAACUGAGGAGACUCUGGAGAUGCUGGCUCUUCAGUUCACAGACAGCGAGUCUGAAAUAACACAGAAGAUCCUGGAAGGAUUUGGA